UGGUCUAGUGGUAUGUGCGGG
rnacentral:piRNA from 1 species